UAAUGUAUGGGAGUCUGCCCGAUAGAGGGGGAUAACUACUGGAAACGGUGGCUAAUACCGCAUAAUGUCUACGGACCAAAGCAGGGGCUCUUCGGACCUUGCACUAUCGGAUGAACCCAUAUGGGAUUAGCUAGUAGGUGGGGUAAAGGCUCACCUAGGCGACGAUCUCUAGCUGGUCUGAGAGGAUGAUCAGCCACACUGGGACUGAGACACGGCCCAG
rnacentral:rRNA from 1 species